rnacentral:rRNA from 1 species
AGAGUUUGAUCCUGGCUCAGGAUGAACGCUAGCUACAGGCUUAACACAUGCAAGUCGAGGGGCAGCAUGAACUUAGCUUGCUAAGUUUGAUGGCGACCGGCGCACGGGUGAGUAACACGUAUCCAACCUGCCGAUGACUCGGGGAUAGCCUUUCGAAAGAAAGAUUAAUACCCGAUGGCAUAGUUCUUCCGCAUGGUAGAACUAUUAAAGAAUUUCGGUCAUCGAUGGGGAUGCGUUCCAUUAGGUUGUUGGCGGGGUAACGGCCCACCAAGCCUUCGAUGGAUAGGGGUUCUGAGAGGAAGGUCCCCCACAUUGGAACUGAGACACGGUCCAAACUCCUACGGGAGGCAGCAGUGAGGAAUAUUGGUCAAUGGGCGAGAGCCUGAACCAGCCAAGUAGCGUGAAGGAUGACUGCCCUAUGGGUUGUAAACUUCUUUUAUAAAGGAAUAAAGUCGGGUAUGGAUACCCGUUUGCAUGUACUUUAUGAAUAAGGAUCGGCUAACUCCGUGCCAGCAGCCGCGGUAAUACGGAGGAUCCGAGCGUUAUCCGGAUUUAUUGGGUUUAAAGGGAGCGUAGAUGGAUGUUUAAGUCAGUUGUGAAAGUUUGCGGCUCAACCGUAAAAUUGCAGUUGAUACUGGAUAUCUUGAGUGCAGUUGAGGCAGGCGGAAUUCGUGGUGUAGCGGUGAAAUGCUUAGAUAUCACGAAGAACUCCGAUUGCGAAGGCAGCCUGCUAAGCUGCAACUGACAUUGAGGCUCGAAAGUGUGGGUAUCAAACAGGAUUAGAUACCCUGGUAGUCCACACGGUAAACGAUGAAUACUCGCUGUUUGCGAUAUACUGCAAGCGGCCAAGCGAAAGCGUUAAGUAUUCCACCUGGGGAGUACGCCGGCAACGGUGAAACUCAAAGGAAUUGACGGGGGCCCGCACAAGCGGAGGAACAUGUGGUUUAAUUCGAUGAUACGCGAGGAACCUUACCCGGGCUUGAAUUGCAACUGAAUGAUGUGGAGACAUGUCAGCCGCAAGGCAGUUGUGAAGGUGCUGCAUGGUUGUCGUCAGCUCGUGCCGUGAGGUGUCGGCUUAAGUGCCAUAACGAGCGCAACCCUUGUUGUCAGUUACUAACAGGUUCCGCUGAGGACUCUGACAAGACUGCCAUCGUAAGAUGUGAGGAAGGUGGGGAUGACGUCAAAUCAGCACGGCCCUUACGUCCGGGGCUACACACGUGUUACAAUGGGGGGUACAGAGGGCCGCUACCACGCGAGUGGAUGCCAAUCCCCAAAACCUCUCUCAGUUCGGACUGGAGUCUGCAACCCGACUCCACGAAGCUGGAUUCGCUAGUAAUCGCGCAUCAGCCACGGCGCGGUGAAUACGUUCCCGGGCCUUGUACACACCGCCCGUCAAGCCAUGAAAGCCGGGGGUACCUGAAGUACGUAACCGCAAGGAGCGUCCUAGGGUAAAACUGGUAAUUGGGGCUAAGUCGUAACAAGGUAGCCGUACCGGAAGGUGCGGCUG